rnacentral:rRNA from 1 species
UACGUAGGGGGCUAGCGUUGUCCGGAUUUAUUGGGCGUAAAGAGCUCGUAGGCGGUCUGUCGCGGCUGCUGUGAAAACUCAGGGCUUAACCCUGAGCUUGCAGUGGGUACGGGCAGACUAGAGUGCGGUAGGGGAGACUGGAAUUCCUGGUGUAGCGGUGAAAUGCGCAGAUAUCAGGAGGAACACCGGUGGCGAAAGCGGCUUCCUGGUCCAGCAUCGACGUUCAGGCACGAAAGCGUGGGGAGCAAACAGG